AAGUCGUAACAAGGUUUCCGUAGGUGAACCUGCGGAAGGAUCAUUAAAAAUUUGUCGAGCCGACCUCGUGUCGUGCCUCAGCAAACCAAUGUGAACACACCCGUUGCUUCGGCGGCAUGCCCAGCGCUGUCAGCCCGUCCGAAGCCCCUUCAAAACCCUUCUGUAAACUGCAGUCGACACGAUAAAGCAAAUCGUUAAAA
rnacentral:misc_RNA from 1 species